rnacentral:tRNA from 1 species
GGACCAAUUAGCUCAGAUGGAUAGAGCAAACAGCUCAUAACCGUUUGGUUAAAGGUUUGAAGUGCAGUUCGAGUCCUGUAUGGUCCA